CUCGCCGGCUGGAGCCCCGAGGGGCGCGCCGGGACCUCCAAAACCUGUGCGCCCGGAGACAUCAGGGCGGCCACAGGCCUCCCCUCCGCCCAGCCGCGGCCCUUCGGCUCCCGCCCGCGCGCCCAGGAGCGCUGAGCCCAAGCAACCGUAUGCCGCGGACCGAACAGGCUGUUUCACAGCUGGGAGACCCCAGGGCGGGGAAAGGCCUGAGGCUCUGGGCCCCUGUCCCCAGCUAGGAUCCAGCAAACCUACAUUACCCUAAUUGAAAACCUGCUGUAAAGUAUUUGCAUGCUGGGGCCAGUAAAAACUCAUCAUUUGAACGCAAGUCUGGACAAGAGGACACAGGAUGCCCUGCAGUCUGUCUUAGCUAUUUCCCCGGCAAGACAGCUUCUCUCCUGCCUGUGCUGUUGAUUGCAUUGUUUAAACUUGUGUGUUAUCGCUGCCAUCUUCCCCACAUUGUUCAGUGAACAUGCCUUCUAAGAAAGUGGAAAAGCCUGUGAACCAAGUACACGAACCAAAGAGACCUAGAAAGACCCAAAUCGCUAAAAAGAUAGUUGAGAGUGAGAAAGCGUUUUGAGAGAAGACAACGAAUAGAAAAUAAGCAGGUAGAAAUGAUAACAUAAUGUGUACUGGCUAUUGAACAACAUGGUUGCAAAGCAUUUAUCUGUACUCGCUAAUGAGUUCAUUAAAUGCAAUUGUCAUUUUAAAUCCUCUAUAGUUCAGAAAUCCUCCAUGGAUUAUUACAGAGGUUUCUAAGAGGGUUUUAAUGAUAAGUGGGGGGCUGG